rnacentral:rRNA from 1 species
AACGAACGCUGGCGGCAGGCUUAACACAUGCAAGUCGAACGCAUCGCAAGAUGAGUGGCAGACGGGUGAGUAACGCGUGGGAACAUACCCUUUUCUACGGAAUAGCUCUGGGAAACUGGAAUUAAUACCGUAUACGCCCUACGGGGGAAAGAUUUAUCGGGGAAGGAUUGGCCCGCGUUGGAUUAGCUAGUUGGUGGGGUAAUGGCCUACCAAGGCGACGAUCCAUAGCUGGUCUGAGAGGAUGAUCAGCCACAUUUGGACCGAGACACGGCCCAAACGCCUACGGGAGGAAGCAGUGGUGAAUAUUGGACAAUGGGCGCAAGCCUGAUCCAGCCAUGCCGCGUUAGUGAUGAAGGCCUUAUGGUUGUAAAGCUCUUUCACCGAUGAAGAUAAUGACGGUAGUCGGAGAAGAAGCCCCGGCUAACUUCGUGCCAGCAGCCGCUGUAACAC